rnacentral:rRNA from 1 species
AGAGUUUGAUCCUGGCUCAGGACGAACGCUGGCGGCGCGCUUAACACCGGAAAUUCCAGCGAGAACCGAGGCUACCCUCUACAGUACUCCAGCAAAACAGUCAGGAAUGCAUGGAUAACCUGUUCUCGGCACCGGGUUAAGCCCGGGGAUUUCACAUUAAUACCGGAUAGCCCUCUUGACUCCCGAGUCCGCCUGCGAAGGUAGCUUCGCCCUUUACGCCCAGGAUAACUCCGCGGCGGAUUAACUUGCUUGCACCCUCAUGUAUUACCGCGGCUCCGAUCCGUAGCUGGCACGAGAGGACGAUUAGCCGCACUGUGCUUGAGACACGGCCCAGACUUCUCCGGGUACCGUCAAUGGGGAAUCUUGCGCAAUGGGCGAAAGCAUCUCUUAACGACACCACGUGAGGGAAGAAGGCCUUCGGGUUGUAUACUUCUUCCCCCAGGGCCAAAGUUACUCGGCUUUACAACUCAGAGGGUGACGGUACCUGCAGAAGAAGCCUUGGCUUCCUGCAUGCCAGCAGCCGCGGCAAUACGUAGGGGGCAAGCGUUGGCUGGAUUUACUGGGCGUAAAGAGCGUGUAGGCAGUCUUGCAAGUCCAUUGUGAAAACUGGAGGCCCAAUAUUCAGACGCCUACUGAAACUGCCUGGCUAGAGCCCGUAGGAGGAGAGUGGAAUUUCUGGUGUAGCGGUGAAAUGCGUAGA